rnacentral:rRNA from 2 species
AGUUGACCGAAUUCUGAUAUUGAUGGUGCUUGCAUUCUUGAUUUAAUUCUUGAACGAGUUGGCGGAGGGUGAGUAACACGUGGGUAACCUGCCCUUAAGUGGGGGAUAACAUUUGGAAACAGAUGCUAAUACCGCAUAAAUCCAAGAACCGCAUGGUUCUUGGCUGAAAGAUGGCGUAAGCUAUCGCUUUUGGAUGGACCCGCGGCGUAUUAGCUAGUUGGUGAGGUAACGGCUCACCAAGGCAAUGAUACGUAGCCGAACUGAGAGGUUGAUCGGCCACAUUGGGGACUGAGACACGGCCCAAACUCCUACGGGAGGAGGCCAGUAGG